rnacentral:pre_miRNA from 1 species
GUUUCGCACCUGUGUCUUGCUGAACCAUUUCCUUAUGUAGCAGGUUGAGCAAAAUUUCAGGUGUGUGAGAAA